CAGCAGCCGCGGGAAUACGUAGGAGGCAAGCGUUGUCCGGAAUUAUUGGGCGUAAAGGGCUCGCAGGCGGUUUCUUAAGUCUGAUGUGAAAGCCCCCGGCUCAACCGGGGAGGGUCAUUGGAAACUGGGAAACUUGAGUGCAGAAGAGGAGAGUGGAAUUCCACGUGUAGCGGUGAAAUGCGUAGAGAUGUGGAGGAACACCAGUGGCGAAGGCGACUCUCUGGUCUGUAACUGACGCUGAGGAGCGAAAGCGUGGGGAGCGAACAGGAUUAGAUACCCCUGUAGUCCCUGUCUCUUAUAC
rnacentral:rRNA from 1 species